rnacentral:rRNA from 1 species
UACGUAGGGGGCAAGCGUUGUCCGGAAUCAUUGGGCGUAAAGAGCGCGUAGGCGGCCCUGUAAGUCCGCUGUGAAAGUCAAGGGCUCAACCCUUGGAUGCCGGUGGAUACUGCAGGGCUAGAGUCCGGAAGAGGCGAGUGGAAUUCCUGGUGUAGCGGUGAAAUGCGCAGAUAUCAGGAAGAACACCAAUGCGAAGGCAGCUCUCUGGGACGGUACUGACGCUGAGACGCGAAAGCGUGGGGAGCGAAC